UACGAAGGGAGCUAGCGUUGUUCGGAAUCACUGGGCGUAAAGCGCACGUAGGCGGAUGUGUCAGUCAGGGGUGAAAUCCCGGAGCUCAACUUCGGAACUGCCUUUGAUACAGCACAUCUGGAGUCCGGAAGAGGUGGGUGGAAUUCCUAGUGUAGAGGUGAAAUGCGCAGAUAUCAGGAAGAACACCCGUGGCGAAGGCGGCUCUCUGGGACGGUACUGACGCUGAGACGCGAAAGCGUGGGGAGCGAACAGG
rnacentral:rRNA from 1 species